AUGUCCCCUCCUGAGCUCCACCUCCUCCAGCCCCCGCCUGGGCUCUGCUCCUUCUUCCUUGUUGGCGCUCAACCGGACGAGGCUGAACUGCCACAAACUGCGGCAGAGGGACACGUCGAUGAGGAUGGCAAGUCGAGCUGGAGGGGAUCGGGAGGCGUGAGGCGUGGAUACGGGUGGAGCGCUGAAGAAGGGUUGUGUGGGGCAACCGGCCCGUCUUAUUUUGUGGAGUGGCCAUUAUCAUCGCCAAGCUACUCAACUCGUCGAACCCGAUGUCGCCAUGUUCGGGAAGAAGGAUUGUCAGCAGUGGCGUCUCCUCUGCCGAAUGAUAACUAA
rnacentral:rRNA from 1 species